UGAUCUGAAAUAAAUGCACCAAACGCUAAGGUAAGUUUGAAAACGAUUUGACAAGCUUGCUCGUUGCCUACAUAUUGCAACUUUCUGAGAGCUAAAAUAUGAUCUUUUGAGGGUAUAGUUUUUUUUUAUAAUCAAUAACAGCAUAGUUUGUAGUUGUUAAAUUCACUUGAUGAUACAAAUGAAUUUACAUGACAUUCGUUUAUACUGUCUUGUAAAGUAAACAAAAAAAAUUUACAACACUUUUUUUUGGAACACAAAAUUGUUUAGUUUACGUGGAAGAGGAAAUAUGGCCGACCAAUAAAGGCGGAUACGGGCUGGUGGAUGGGCUUUAUUUAUUUCGUAUAAAAUAUAAACAUAGUCGAGUCGAGUAGCAUUACUUUUUAUUCUAGCUUGGGCUUGGUUUCAGAGGAAGGAACAUCAUCUCGAAGAGGUUAGGAUCUCGACUUCCAUCAUACGAUACGUUUUCUUUGGAUUGGUUCAUUAGAGCUAGAAGGAUGGAUUGUGACAGUAAUAGAGGAUUGAUCGCUUAUUACCGAAGUAGACUGUAUGAGACGGUGAAUGAUCCUUCAAAAGCUUCAAUAGUUGCGUGGAGCGAGAGCGGCAAGAGUUUCAUCGUUGGGGAUGAAGUGGAGUUUAGAAAAGCUGUUCUUCCGAGAGAGUGCCUUGUACACUUGGGCUUUUCACAAUCUCAUGAGCAAUGCGAAUACGCAUGCCCUUAUUUUAUGAGAGGUCAGCCUGACCUUAAACCGUCGUCGCAAGACAAGCUCAUCAGAAAGAUUGAGACCAACAACAAGGGCUUGAAUGAUGGACGUAUUCGCUUUAGCAGCCUUUCGUGCUACAAAGAGAUUUGUAGGCUUGCCAAGAAGGAGCGUCCCCCUUCCUCAUCAAUUCGACGCCCUCCUCCCCUUUUUAUCAGAGGUGUGUACGAUAUGGUGGAUGAUCCUUCAACUGAUUCAGUUGUCUCGUGGGGUGAGAGCGGCAAGAGCUUCAUCGUUUGGAAUGAAACUGAGUUUCUCAGAGAUGUUCUUCCUAAUUGCUUACCCUUCGAUUACAAAGAUAUGACAUCCCUCACCACCUGGUUGCAUGCCAUUGGCUAUAGUAAAGUUGAAGAAUCUGAGCAUUGGGAAUACACAGCCGAUUAUUUGGUGAGAGGUCAGCCUCUCCCCCCUAAUGAUACAUCCCCAUGCACUCCUGGGGGUCUUAUGAUUACUCCAGAACUUGCCAGAAUCAUCGAGAGGUCCUUUGCUUCCCCUAAGGCUCUCAAACAAUAAGCUCUCUAGGUUCUGUUCGGUGGAGUUGCUAUGCCCUCGUGGUUGUUGUUGUUUUCUUAAUCGUAUUUUAUCGUCCUGUUUGAAAACAUUAUGUUUGGUCUCUUUUUUCUUUUAAUAAAAUCUAUGACCAUUUAUAUGCAUAUAGACAAACUUUCAUAUCAUUCUUAUCUCUGACAAAAUAAUGAAAAUUAAAGAUAAAAAUUAUAUGCAUAUAAAUGGUCAUAGAUUUUAUUACAAACCAUGAGACCUUCUAGUUUAUAGCGAGAAGCUUAUGAGUUUGAAUCAUACAGGUACAACCUAAUUAGUGAAACAUAUCAUCAAAUAAGAUGAAAAGAAAACAUGUAAAUGAGCAGAUAACAAACUGUUUAUUUAAUCACACGUAUGAGAAAACUAAUGUAGUCAAACAUAAAGUAACAUAUCAAUUGAAAAAGUAUCGUUAACAAUUCAUCAGAUACAGAGAAAACCUAAAGCAAUUUGAGAAAAAAGAUCCAAAAAUUAUAAUGUUUCUGAGAGAAUAUGCUUACUAACCACCACCAAGAACAUGCAUCAAGUAGACAUGAGUCACGAAAAAACUCAAUAAUUUACAAAUUUCUAACAAAAGAAACUCAUUUUGGUUUACACAUGACAUACAAACACACACAAAAAAGUAUAAAGAGCUUAGAAACCUUGAUCCCAAAAUUAUAUUUAGAGAUCAACAAAGGGUUUUGAAAAAUAGAUGUAAUGAUAGUUGAAAAAGAAACAAACCUUACGAAGAUUAAACCUAACGAAGACUAGUGAUGAAGAACAAAGUAUACAUAAUGCAUCGCUUCCUAGUGAAAUUCAUGACACAUAUUCAAUGAACUUAUUACAGAAAGGGUCAAUUAAUGACUUGUGUGCAUACAAUAUUUGAUCAAAUGUUGAAGGUCAACAUAUGACUUGUGUGGAAUGUUUGUGCAUAUGAUGAAGACAUGUUGUAUGUGUAGUUCAAUCCAUUUGUUUAAUUUGAAUUCACAUAUUUGAUUAUAGAUUCGAAUAUCUGAAAUCCAUAGUAAUCCAUUAGGUUUCAGAUAACUCAUACAGUUCAUUUUAAUGAUAUUCUAGAUAAUCUUUUUUGAAAACGGAUAUAAUAAAUCUAAAACCUAGAAAAAUAAUUUUAAAACUCAUUUUCGAUUUUCUGAAACUCUUAGAAAAUAUUUUAUUAUUAUUCUAAUCCUUCAGUGACUUCAAAGGAAGUCAGCUUCUAGCUAGUAAAAGUCUCAGUGACUACAAAUGAAUCAGACAAGUAAGCUAGUCAUGAAUCUGAUACCGUAUUUGACAAUAAAAGGAUAACUAUUAUUUGAAAAGAAGAUUCACUACUGACUUGAGAUAAGUCUCAUGAACCAACAUAUUUGGAAACCAUUAUUUGAAAAAUUCAAGGGUUCAAAUACGUAUAUCCACUGAUAAGAAAAUAUUCUUUAUCACUUCAUAUUAUACUCUUUACUUCUCUUGACCACAUCAUAGUCAGUGGCCAAGAUUGAACUUCUCAUAUUAAACUCUUUGCUUCUCGACAAUAUGUUGCUUACGCUUUCCCUUUUGCUGCAUCUGAAAUAUCAAAGAUAAACGGUAGCUAAAGGUAGAUUUAGGAGGAAGAACUCAAAUACCACACAAGUAUAACAAUUUGGAGUCACUUGCUACUAUGUGAAUAAGUGGUCAUACUCUACCAAAGUAUAUAGUGAUCUCAGUCAAGGCAAUAAUGUGAGAUUAUACAAAUUGAAAAGAUUGAGUCAAAUUAAAUACCUAUUUAAGGUUUGUAAAUUAUUAUGUGAAUGAAUAACUUUACAAUCUCUUCAGCUCAUUUUUAUAGCAGACUCAAAACUUGAUUUACUUUUUCCUUUCGAAUUGAUAGUGGACUUAGUUGAAAAUAUAUGUGUCAAGUAGAUUCUGUCCCAUACUUUGCAAUUUCUUGAAUAUGGCAGCGGAGGAAAGAGCUGAUCUCGACCGUGGUCCUUCAGCUAUAUCUUCUACACAUAGAGUUCGGUUAGUGACAUUGUUUUGUGUAAAACGAAAUAUGAGACUACCAAUUAGCAUGUUUAUAAGGAAGAUACAACAUCAGUGAAGUCAAUAAUGAUUAAUUUGUGUACAGUUUUUCCUUACAUGCUGAACAUACAAUGAAGUCAAUGUUAAUUUGCAAAGGUAUGUUCAACUAUUUUUACAUUUUGGACUCGGAAAGAAUUCAUAAUACUGAAAAGUUUGUCCACAAAAUGUAACCUUACUCAUUACAUCAAAACAACUAACAUGAACAUUGUUUUGUCUCUCAGCGUCAUUGAUGGGCAAAUCCAUAUUGUUUCUGGGCAUAUGACUGCAAUAACUCUUGUAUAUAUGACCCAUCUUAACAAAAUCUGAAGAAAUAAGCAAACUUUUUGAUACAAAACUAAAUAUAUAUUAUAUGCAUAUAAACAUUCGUAGAUCUUAUUACAAACCAUGAAACAUGUCGUCAAACUAAAACGUCUGUUUAUUUGACCACUAUCUGUAUCAGAAAACUAAUGUAGUUAAAAAAACAAAUCAAAUGAAAAAGUAAUAUUAACGAAAUAUUAGGAAAACAAUAUUGUUUAAGAAAGACAAGAUCCACAAAUUACAAUGUUUCUGUGAGAAUAUUGCUUACUAACCACCACUAAGAACAUAUAUCGCAUAAACAUGCAUAACGAGGAAACUAAAUAAUUACUAAUUUAUAACAAAAGAAACUCAUUUUGGUUUAUACACGAUAUACAAGAACGUAAAAAUUAUAGAGAGCUUAAAAACCCAUAACCCUGAAAUUAUAUUUAAAGAUCAACAAAGGGUUUUGACAAUUAGAUGUAGUAGUAGAGUGAGAAAGAAAUAAACCUCAUGAGGACUAACUGUGAAGGAAUAAAUGAUGCACCACUUCCUAGUGAAAUGCAUGACAAAUAUUCAAUUAUUUUAUUUACAAAGAGCACCAACUAUGAUUUGCGUGCAUACAACAUGUGAUCCAAUGUUGAAAGGUCAAUGGAUGACCUGUGAGCAGUUUUAGUGCAGAUUAUGAAGGUUAUGUAGUAUGCGCGUUCAAUCCACUUGUUUAAUUGAUCCAAUUGAUUUUCCCAUGCAUUUCAUGAGAAUCCGACUCAACUGGCUUUGGCAACAUUCUCAGCUGCAUUUCUCUAUCCGCUUCAGUUUCUCCAGAGACUCAAGUUGAUUUGGGUUCUGGAGAGUACCAACCACAAGCCCCAACAUUAGAUGUUCCAGUGUUCUUGUCUUAACCUUCCAAAUCAGUAUCUCCAAGUCUUCAGCCUUUUGAGCCCUGAGCUCUGUAAACACCAGUUCAUCGAUCUUCUCGAUCUGAAGUUGCCCACAAAACGUCAUGAAAUGAUCACACCAGGUGCAGCAGUCGAUGGAUCCUCAUUUGCCAAAACUUUCUUCAUCAUACUGAAGUCAAGACUCUAUCACACCAAUGAAAUCAAUCACAUGAGAGAUCAACGCCACUUUUUCCUCUUCCCCCGAGAAAGUGGGUGAGGGAUGUUGGUCAGCUGAUAAAUGCAUAAAUCAAAGCUAGUUUUUGUUCUCCUCGGCCUCAGUUUUGACAACAGCAAGGAUACGUUUCAAUGCCAAACGGCCGUCUUUGAAUCGCACAGUGAUUUUUUCAAUCAAUUUUUGUGACAAGAGCAAAAAAUAUUACAACCUAAUUAACAAGUGGAGUACCUCAGUGUAGCCGAUAACCAGGUUCCGUAGCUUCCAAGUCAAGAUCCUUGAGAGUCCAACCGCGAUCCUCCAUUUUCUUCUUCUUCUCAUAAUGUUUUCUUCGCCGAGUUUUCUUUCUUUUCCCGUCUGAAUCUUUGUUUCUUCCACAAGUCGAGGAUGUUUUGUAACUGGACCCAUGCCUUUUCUAUUUUGGGCUCAUUUUAUUACAUUUAAUUUUUAAGUUCAUUAAUAUUUUUAAAAGUAUAAAAGUAAUAAGUUGUACUUUUUUGUUUAGUUUAAUUUUCUAAUUUAAUAAAAUUAUUUUCCAUUUUUAAAAUAACAAUUUGUACACUAUUUCAUUUCUUUUUAAUAAGAAAAUUUAAUAAAUUUUAGUUUUGUUGCUUUUAUUUAUAAGAAUUAUAUCAUAAAUAUAUUAAUUAAAAUUAAUGAAUUGAAUGGUAAUCACUUAAUUAUAUUAUUUUAUCUCACAGAAACUUAAAUAUAUUGAAUUUAGAAAUUAAUUAUAUAUAUCAUUACAUUUAAUAAUAAACUUAAUAUAUUUUUGCAUAUUGAACUAUCUAAUAAAAAUUAUAAAAAUUUAUAAAAUGUUAUAUAAUAAUUUAAAAAUUAUUAAAAUGUCGAAACAUCUUGUCAAAAUAUAAUCAUCUGUUCUAAUUUGAUCAUGUUACAAUAGUAUUAAUAUCUUUUAAUAACUUGUAAAAAUUAAUAUUACAUUAGUUAUAAAGAAUAAGCUAAUGUUACAAUUUUUUAAAAGUAAUAUUAUAUUUUUGAUAUAUAUAUUUGUAAAAAUAAAAAUUUUGGAAGUAUGAAAUACAAAUAAUUUUGCAUUUUUUAAAUAAUAUAAAUCAUUUAGAAUAAAUCACUUUUUAUACACAUGACAAUUUAUAUUUUGGUAUUUUAUGGAAAAUUAAUUAAAUUUUUAUGAUUACAAACUUGAUAUUUAUCUUAGUAUACAAUUUUCUUAUUAAUUAAAUUUAUUUGAUUGAUAUAAUUUCUAUAUAAAGGUGUAACUAGUAACCAACAUAGGAACAUUAGAAAUGAAUAGAAAAAAAAUGAGUUGGAAUAAAAUUUUGGGAAUGAUGAGGAAUGAUGAUUUCUUAUCAAACUUAACAAGGAACAAAAUUGCUCUCUAAUUCUCUACCGAAAAAAAGAAUGAAAAGGAAUGAAAGUAAAAAUUAUUCUUCAUGAAUGAUAAUCUUUUUGAGGAAUACUAAGGAAUGUAGCGUUCCUCUUCAAUCCCUUUUUUGCCAUUGAGAAUUUCAUGAAAAAUAAAAAAGAAGACACGAGCCCAAAACGAUGACCGAAAUCAUGCAUGAUAUCCGUUACAAAGAGAAAUGUACUUGAAGAGCCUUUUUCUAAAUCAUCGGCAACUAAGUUGUCCGAUCUAGAAACAUGAUAGAAAGAAAUCAAUGAAAAAUCAGAGGAGACUUGAAUCAGAUGUCUUUCACAAUUCCGAUGAUUUUUUUUUACUAGAGUUUUGCUACCCAGCAAAGAUUCAAGAGGAAGAAUGUAAUAUGGUUGGGAGUUCGAUUCAUGAAAUUGAAUCUGAUCCAGAAGUGAAACAGGUGGUUCGCUAGGCUGAUUAUAUAUUCAAGAAGGUGAAUGAAUCAUGUGAAUCAAAAAUCAUCAAACUUGGCAACUUAUUAUAAUCAGAUCAGUGGCACAGAUGACCAAAAAAAGUAAAGCUGUGAGUAUGUUUUUAAAUUUGGGGGGGGGGGGGGGGGGGGGGGUGGUCUUACACUAAAAUUUCACUUGUAUGUAAGGGUUUCAUCCUUAGUUUCAUCCUUUUUACACUAUUUUAUCUUUCCAGGUCGCUUAAAUGAAAGGAGCGAUGUGUACAAUUUCGGAGUUGUGCUUCCAGAGAUUUUGAGGGGUAAAUAAGCUUUGGACUUCAAAAGGCCGGCUGAAUUAGUGAUAUUUUGUAAAUAGUAUGCAUAUUCUUACAAAGAUAUAUCAUAUUAAAUAAAAUGUUGCAAUAGCCACAAUGUUUAAAAAAACUUAGAAUAAAUAACAACUAAAAUGUAACAAAAGUAAUAAAAUAAUUAUUUUUGGGCAACAAAAUAAUAAAAUAAUUUAAUAGUUCAAAUCUAAAAUCAAUAUUCUCCAGAUUUGUAUCACUCUAAAUCUUUAGCACCUUUUAAAAAUUUUUAUUUUGAAAUAAAACAAGUGUUUUGUUCAUUUAUAAAUUAUACCAAUUUUUAGUUUAAAAGAUGAAAAGUUAAUUAUUUUUAUUAACAAAAUUUUGGUUUAUAUACGAACCGGAGUUUGACCAGUUUAAUGGGUCAUUGGUUUCCGGGUUUUUGAAGGUUCGAUAUGGGUUUUUAACCGGUUCAAUUUUUAGUUGGGUUUUGACAUUAAUCCAGUCCGGAUUUUUUUGGUUCAUGGUUCAACCCCGCCGGCUCGGUCCGGGUUUAAAAACACUGGUUGUAACCCACUGUUGAUUCAUUUUGUUCUUCAAUACAUUUUUAAUACUACAAUCAAAUGACGUUUGAGUGCAAAUAUUCUCCGUUUUAGGUAGGAGUGUUCAAUCCGGAUAUCGGUUCGGUUUCGGUUCAGUUUUUUCGGUUUUUGGUAUUUCAGUUAGUAAAAUAUAACUAACAUUAUAAAUCCAUAUCUAAUUCGGUUCGGUUUUUAUACCGUCGGUUUUCGGUUUUAUACCAAAUACAUUGUUAUUUAGUUUCAGAUCAUAUUAUAUGAAUUUUAGAGUCAUGUUGUCAACGUAGUCAUUUAUUAAAAAAUAUAUUAUAUGUUCAAAUAAAUGAACAAAAAAAAGUAAAAACGCUUAUACCAUCAAAUAAAAUAAUCAAAUUUAGAUAUAAAAUCAAAGCUCUCGAAAUUUUGAGAAUAAAAAUAAGAAAGAAAACAGAAACAUGAAAGAAAAGUUUUUUUAUUCUUCCAUAUUUAGUGUUCAUUAAAGUCAUACUUCUUCGAUUGAACACGAAACUCUGUUCGUUUAUUGAUAAGAAAAAAAUUGUGAAGAAUUUCCUCUAAGUGUUAUUCAUCAAAUUUAUAACCUUUACAUUAAUUUAUUCAAUACUAAGAAAAUAAGAUACCUCAAUUGCAAUUUAUUGUAAUUUAAUUAUAGUUUAAAUAUUUUAAAAAUUAGGGUUUUUUAUUACUAUAAAAAUAUGGUAAUAGUUAUUAACAAAACAUUAACUUAUAUAACAAAUAGAUUUUCAUGUGCUGUUAUAAAAUAAAUAUAUAUUUACAUGUUUCUAUUUUUAAUCGUUUUGUUCGGUUUGUUCGGUUUAUUCGGUUUAUUCGGUUUAAUCGGUUAUAUACCAAACUAUAUCCAAAUCCUACGGUUUUUAUAAAAUUAUAUCCAUUCGGUUUGUAUGAUAUAUACCAAAACGAAACCAUAUUAUCUAUUUCAGUUUGGUUCGGUACGGUUCCGUUUUAACAUAUUAAACAGUCCUAGUUUUAGGUGAAUAAUUAGUUUUAAUCAAUAUGUAUCUAUUCGGUUUGAGAACGCGUGUAGUUUCUUGCUUUUUCAAUUGAACUUCGUCCCGUCUUGUUGUCUUAUCCACUUAGUGACCGCAACACACAACUCGAGACUUCUCGUCGCAGAGAGAUUUUUAGUAGGAGUUUUUUGUUGUUGUAUUUUAAUAGAUUUAAAAAUCCAAACAAAAUCUAAUGUUAUAGGUUUUAUGAUUUUUAAAUCUGUAUUAAAAUCAUGUAUUAUUGGUUUAAUGAUUCAUUAAUUCUAUUUCAAAAUACAUAUACAGAUAUACUUAACAUAAUAAAUGUCAAAAUAUAUAAACUUAACAUAUAAAUUAGUUUGAUUUGAAUAUUUUGGAUAGAUAAUCAAUAGAUAUUUUAAAUAUUUUUUGUGUUUUUAAUAACUUAUUAUUUAUGUUUUCAAAAAAUUAAAUCAAACAUAAAAUUAUAUAUAUAUACCAAAUGUAUCUUAUAUAUUUUGGAUGUUUUUUUAGAUAUUUACUUUUGACUUUUUCCGAGUAUUUUAGACAACUUAAAAGUAUGUUAUAUAUUUUGAGGUUUUUUUACCAUACAUUAAAUCUAAAUAUAAUUAAUAUAUUUAGGUAUAUAAAUCUAUUUCGGAUACCCAAAAUACUUUGGUUCGGAUCAGAUUUGGUUUUAGUUUUUAUUUUUUGGAAACCAAAAUUUUAAAAAAUAUCCAAUCAAUUUCGGUUCAGAUUGGAUACUACUUAUGGGGUUCGGUUGUUCGGAUUCGAGUUUUUUGCCGAGCCCCUCCAGUAGCGUAAACAACUUUGGCGUAAACGUGAGAUUCCUUCGUCAAAAUUAUCUAUCAAGUUAUAUGUUAUCAAUAGUUUUUAAAUUCAGUUUAGGGUGCUAUAAAUUAAAUAACAAAACAUUGUUUAGUAACGUGGAAAAGGAAAGAGAUAGGCCGACCAAAUACGGGCCGGUGGAUGGGCGGGCCUUAUCUGUUUCGUAUAAAACAAGCCUAGUCGAGUCUUUGUUUCUAGCUUAGGGUUUGGUUUCAGAGGAAGGAAGGAAGGAACGAAGAUCAACUCGAAGAGGUUAGAUGGAUCGUGACAGUAAUGAUGAUGGACGUAUUCCUUUUAGGAGCCUUUCUUGCUACCAAGAGAUUUGUAGGCUUGCUGAUAAGGAUUGUCACUUCUCAUCAAUUCCAAGAUAUCCGCUUUUCGUGAGAGACGUGUAUGAUAUGGUGGAUGAUCCUUCAACUGAUUCAGUUGUCUCGUGGAGUGAUAGUGGUAAGAGCUUCAUCAUUUGGAAGGAAUCUGAGUUCCUAGGAGAUGUUUUUCCUAGGUGCUUUUCCUGCGAUUACAAAGAUAUGACAUCCCUCACCGCCUGGUUUAAUGCCAUGGGAUAUAGUAAAGUUGAAGAAUCUGUGCAUUGGGAAUACACAGGCAAUUAUUUGGUGAGAGGCCAGCCUCCCCACCCUACAGAUACAUUCUCACGUACUCCUGGGGGUAUUAUGAUUUCUCCAGAAGAGGCCAAAAUCAUGGAGAGGUUCUUUGCUUCUACGAAGGCUCGCAAACAAUAAGCUCUGUCUGUUUCGGUGGAGUUGCUUUGCUCUCGUGGUUGUUGUUGUUUUCUUAAUCUUAUUUUAUCGUCCUGUUUGAAAACAUUAUGUUCGGUCUCUCUCUCUUUUCUUUUCUUAAAUUAUGGUUUGUAAGAUAAGAUGGUUGAUGUUUUUUUUUUUUUUUUUUGCAUUUUAAUAAGAUAGAUCAUUAUGAUC